GACGAACGCUGGCGGCGUGCCUAAUACAUGCAAGUUGAGCGCUGAAGGUUGGUACUUGUACCAACUGGAUGAGCAGCGAACGGGUGAGUAACGCGUGGGGAAUCUGCCUUUGAGCGGGGGACAACAUUUGGAAACGAAUGCUAAUACCGCAUAAAAACUUUAAACACAAGUUUUAAGUUUGAAAGAUGCAAUUGCAUCACUCAAAGAUGAUCCCGCGUUGUAUUAGCUAGUUGGUGAGGUAGAGGCUCACCAAGGCGAUGAUACAUAGCCGACCUGAGAGGGUGAGCGGCCACAUUGGGACUGAGACACGGCCCAAACUCCUACGGGAGGCAGCAGUAGGGAAUCUUCGGCAAUGGACGAAAGUCUGACCGAGCAACGCCGCGUGAGUGAAGAAGGUUUUCGGAUCGUAAAACUCUGUUGGUAGAGAAGAACGUUGGUGAGAGUGGAAAGCUCAUCAAGUGACGGUAACUACCCAGAAAGGGACGGCUAACUACGUG
rnacentral:rRNA from 1 species